UGGGGAAUUUUGGACAAUGGGGGCAACCCUGAUCCAGCCAUGCCGCGUGAGUGAAGAAGGCCUUCGGGUUGUAAAGCUCUUUCGGCCGGGAAGAAAUCGCAUAGGCUAAUACCCUGUGUGGAUGACGGUACCGGAAUAAGAAGCACCGGCUAACUACGUGCCAGCAGCCGCGGUAAUACGUAGGGUGCGAGCGUUAAUCGGAAUUACUGGGCGUAAAGCGUGCGCAGGCGGUUUAGUAAGACAGGCGUGAAAUCCCCGGGCUCAACCUGGGAACUGCGCUUGUGACUGCUAAGCUAGAGUACGGCAGAGGGGGGUGGAAUUCCACGUGUAGCAGUGAAAUGCGUAGAGAUGUGGAGGAACACCGAUGGCGAAGGCAGCCCCCUGGGCCGAUACUGACGCUCAUGCACGAAAGCGUGGGUAGCAAACA
rnacentral:rRNA from 2 species